GGUGUUUUAUGUGUCUGAAUGCAGUUGAGCGCCCCCUAGCUGGGUGAAGGUGUUUUACAUGUCUGAAUGCAGUUGAGCGCCCCCUAGCUGGGUGAAGGUGUUUUACAUGUCUGAAUGCAGUUGAGCGCCCCCUAGCUGGGUGAAGGUGUUUUACAUGUCUGAAUGCAGUUGAGCGCCCCCUAGCUGGGUGAAGGUGUUUUAUGUGUCUGAAUGCAGUUGAGCGCCCCCUAGCUGGGUGAAGGUGUUUUAUGUGUCUGAAUGCAGUUGAGCACCCCCUAGGCCGGGGUCUUCUUCUUGCACUCCACUGAAC